ACUUAUCCAGCAAAUGUUUAUGCAGCGGAUGCCCUUCCAGCUGCAAACCAUCUCUGGGAAACAUCCAUACACACUCAUUCACACUCAUACACAACGGACAAUUUAGCUUACCCAAUUCACCCAGCCAAGGCUCGAACCAGAGACCUUAUUGCUGUGAGGUGACAGCACUGCCUACCGCGCCACCGCAUCGCUCCGAUUAAAGAAUAUUUUUAGGCAAAUCCGUGGUUCUUGGUAAGUUGUAUAAUGGCAGUGAAUGAUACGUAUAUACACUACCUCACAAAUGUCUUGUCGUCAAUCCCAG
ensembl:processed_transcript